CCUACGGGAGGCAGCAGUAGGGAAUAUUGCACAAUGGGCGAAAGCCUGACGGAGCAACGCCGCGUGGGGGAAGAAGGUCUUCGGAUCGUAAAACCCUGUUGUUAGAGAAGAAAGUGCGUGAGAGUAACUGGUCACGUUUCGACGGUAUCUAACCAGAAAGCAACGGCUAACUACGUGCCAGCAGCCGCGGUAAUACGGAGGUGGCAAGCGUUAAGCGGAUUUAUUGGGCGUAAAGGGAACGCAGGCGGUCUUUUAAGUCCUAUGUGAAAGCCUUCGGCUUAACGGGAGUAGUGCAUUGGAAACUGGCAGACUUGAGUGCAGUAGAGGAGAGUGGAACUCCAUGUGUAGCGGUGAAAUGCGUAGAUAUAUGGAAGAACACCAGUGGCGAAGGCGGCUCUCUGGUCUGUAACUGACGCUGAGGUUCGAAAGCGUGGGUAGCAAACAGGAUUAGAUACCCGGGUAGUC
rnacentral:rRNA from 1 species